CAAGNCCUUGCGCUUUUGGAGCGGCCGAUGUCUGAUUAGCUAGUUGGUGAGGUAAAGGCUUACCAAGGCUUCGAUCAGUAGCUGGUCUGAGAGGACGACCAGCCNCACUGGGACUGAGACACGGCCCAGACUCCUACGGGAGGCACCAGUGGGGAAUUUUGGCCAAUGGGGGAAACCCUGAUCCAGCCAUGCCGCGUGAGUGAAGAAGCCCUUCGGGUUGUAAAGCUCUUUCAGCCGGAACGAAAAGGUUACGGUUAAUACCCGUGACUAAUGACGGUACCGGAAGAAGAAGCACCGGCUAACUACGUGCCAGCAGCCGCGGUAAUACGUAGGGUGCGAGCGUUAAUCGGAAUUACUGGGCGUAAAGCGUGCCCAGGCGGUUUUGUAAGUCAGAUGUGAAAUCCCCGGGCUCAACCUGGGAACU
rnacentral:rRNA from 1 species